rnacentral:pre_miRNA from 1 species
UUACUACUCCCUCCGUUCCAAAUUACUCGUCGCUGAAAUGGAUGUAUCUAGAACUAAAAUACAUCUAGAUACAUCCAUACGUGCGACAAGUAAUUCAGAACGGAGGGAGUACUUG